AACUCAGCCAUGCAUCCCUAAGUGAUCCCUGUGUUUUUCAACACUCUCUUCGGGGGGAGGGGUGUAUUAUUAUUCUAAAAUGCAAAGUAUAAAUUCUUUUUGAGAGUAAUUUUAGGAUAAGAAAUAUGCUACCUCUCCAAAUCCAGAAAGUGAACUAUUUGGAGAAGACAUCAUGAAGAUGCCUCCACAGACCACACACUGCACCAGAAGAUCCAGAGUGAACUUUGGGAUGUGGUGAUUUGAACUGUGUGGAGUUGAAUGCAGUUGUUUUGCUUACAUUUGAAAACAGAUGGAGAUAUGAACUCAUGGAAAAAACAUCAGGGACCUUGAUCACAGCCAAAUCAUGCUUGGGAAAGUGGUCUACUUUGAAAAUUACACCAAGCAAAAGGGUGAAGAAUCUGAAUUCGGAGAGGAGCAGUUACUUGUCUGAUAAUCACAGAACAAGUUAGUAACCCAAGCCUGGACUUAUAGCCAGGUCUCCUGACUCCCAGUACAACUCCCUUCCCAUGACAUGACAGUUAUUUAUAUCUGUUGCCUCUGUCUCAGAUGGAGCUCCCCUCUCUCUUUUAGUGGCUAUGUUUCCUACUGGAUUCUUCUCUCCUUAUUCAGAAGUCACUUUCUUGGUCCA
rnacentral:lncRNA from 1 species